ACUUACCUGGCCAAAUCUAACUAUCUGGCUCUCAGGGACUAUAGCAGGCCUGAAGCAGGGAAAAAAGGAGUUUCAUAACCAAGUUGUAUUGGAGGUAACUUCAGCGCUGUCCUGACACUUCAGUACACUACGUAUCACGAGAAGAGUUGCUAACAGCCCGAAUAACCAACCCCACGUGCAGCUUUUUAACUACAGAGAUGUGAAUACUGGUCUCUUUUGAAUUAAGCCAAACACAACUAUGUCCUCCCUCUUAGGAGAAAUGCAGGUCCACAAAACUAAUAGAGAGUUACCAAAGAAUAACCUGGAGAAAUGAAGAAAGGAGGAGAUGACAACCACUAAUAAUGUUAGCGCUAGUAUAAGUCCGGUGUGAGGGGGACGGAGAGGAAGUGAACAAAGCUGACAUUUUCACGGGACACAUGGGAGCAGGACGUUUUAAGUCGCCUCAAUGGGACGCAUUCUUGGGUUCUGACAAGAAGGCAGGCGGAACGCCCCCCACCCAGGUGGAUUCUCUGCCUCGGCGCAGGUGCGGCUUUCCGCGGCCUUCCCGCCGGCAUAGCUUUGUCUGCCGCCCAUGGACCCUACAUACCGCUCCAGUCUUAGAAGUCCAGAGCCUGCCGCACCAUCAGGGCUACACCUACGGAUGAGGUAGAGGGACCCGGGCGGCGUGGAGAGAGUCCCUCCGUUCGCACCCCGGCCUCGACGAUCGCAAGUAACUCGACUAACUCAAGGAGCCAAAAAGAGAAAAAGCGGUGGUGGCGAAAGGCUCUGCAGAGUCUCUCCCAGUGACCCUGUCACCUCCAUCAGUUCUGCCCUCCCAUUGGCUGAUAAUGAGCCCAACGCGAGGAUAAAAUUUCCAAUCAGUGAAGGUUUUUUUAGAGUGAAGCGCUCAUUGGUGGUUUAGGGAAAUACACCAAGUGUUCAGUGGACGCAUCCAAUAAGGACCCAGGAACAUUAGAUUGGACCUCGCGACUCUCCGUCCGUCAAGCACUAACCAAAGAGAUUGAUUCCAGCUAAAAAACCGUCGCGUUUCCCCUACAAUUCCAGCGCCUGCCGGAAAGACCUCUGCUUAUUGAUUCUGCCACAUAGCUCAUAUAUAUUAAAGUCAAAAGGAAUAUGAGAGGCCUCUAAUGAGGAAAGAGUGUGGAUGAUAAAUAUCCCAGCCUGCGUUCUGUGCUAAAUGUUAAUAUCUCCUGUACUUUGUAAGUGAAUUAAAAAACCAAACGUUUACUUCUUCAAUUUCUUUGUGUUCCCUUGUUCCCGGUUAUCCUCUUCCUCCAAAUAUGCUCAAGAAAACAGAAGCAAAGUAGCUAAAUAGAAAACAAUUACUGUUUCUUUCACAGUAUUUGACGUAUAGCAGAAACAAGUCUGGCAUGGUUUCUGUUUCCUAAAGCCACAAGAGGGAGUGGUGCUAGGUUAACGUUGAGUCUGAAAUAGAAAGGUGAUGCAAAAUAUCCAGUGGUAGAAGCACCAACCUCAUUUGUAACAAUCGGAGUUACGAACUGCUGGAAUUGAGGGGGAGGGGAAGGGAAAAUAAACUGUUAAUGUAGAAAUCUGUAAAAAAGUAAAUAUAAGAAGUCCAAAGGACACAGCUAGUUAAUCAUAACCUAUCUGAUAGAAUAAAUGAAUUUUGUAGAGUAUUGUUAUUAAAAACAACUCAAAAACCCAGAAAAGUAAAGUUGCUAUCUUUGCUAAGGUUAAUUUGUAUAUUAGGAAGGGAACAGACAUUUGGGAUUUUCCCAACUAGUAAUUGAUGGCAGAGGUUUUGAGUACUGUCUUUUGGAAGUUCACAAUCUAAAAUUAAAUGUAAGCUGGCUCAUGCCUGUAAUCCCAGCACUGGGAGGCCAAGGAAG